rnacentral:rRNA from 1 species
AUGCAGUCGAGCGGACAGAUGGGAGCUUGCUCCCUGAUGUUAGCGGCGGACGGGUGAGUAACACGUGGGUAACCUGCCUGUAAGACUGGGAUAACUCCGGGAAACCGGGGCUAAUACCGGAUGGUUGUUUGAACCGCAUGGUUCAAACAUAAAAGGUGGCUUCGGCUACCACUUACAGAUGGACCCGCGGCGCAUUAGCUAGUUGGUGAGGUAACGGCUCACCAAGGCAACGAUGCGUAGCCGACCUGAGAGGGUGAUCGGCCACACUGGGACUGAGACACGGCCCAGACUCCUACGGGAGGCAGCAGUAGGGAAUCUUCCGCAAUGGACGAAAGUCUGACGGAGCAACGCCGCGUGAGUGAUGAAGGUUUUCGGAUCGUAAAGCUCUGUUGUUAGGGAAGAACAAGUACCGUUCGAAUAGGGCGGUACCUUGACGGUACCUAACCAGAAAGCCACGGCUAACUACGUGCCAGCAGCCGCGGUAAUACGUAGGUGGCAAGCGUUGUCCGGAAUUAUUGCGCGUAAAGGGCUCGCAGGCGGUUUCUUAAGUCUGAUGUGAAAGCCCCCGGCUCAACCGGGGAGGGUCAUUGGAAACUGGGGAACUUGAGUGCAGAAGAGGAGAGUGGAAUUCCACGUGUAGCGGUGAAAUGCGUAGAGAUGUGGAGGAACACCAGUGGCGAAGCGACUCUCUGGUCUGUAACUGACGCUGAGGAGCGAAAGCGUGGGGAGCGAACAGGAUUAGAUACCCUGGUAGUCCACGCCGUAACGAUGAGUGCUAGUGUUAGGGGGUUUCCGCCCCUUAGUGCUGCAGCUACGCAUAGCACUCGCUGGGGAGUACGGUCGCAGACUGAACUCAAGGAUGACGGGGCCGCACAGCGUGAGCAUGUGUUUAUCGAGCACGCGAGACUAACAGUCUGACAUCUCUGACAUCCUAGAGAUAGACGUCCAUCGGGGCAGAUGAAGUGGUGCAUGGUU